GACGAACGCUGGCGGCGUGCCUAAUACAUGCAAGUCGAACGCAGUGGGGAUGGGUGAGUAACACGUGGGUAACCUCCCAUCAGAGGGGAUAACACUUGGAAACAGGUGCUAAACCGAUACUGAUGGAUGGCCCCGGGGUGCAUUAGCUAGUUGGUGAGGUAACGGCCCACCAAGGCCACGAGGCAUAGCCGACCUGAGAGGGAGAGCGGCCACACUGGGACUGGGAAACGGCCCAGACUCCUACGGUAGGGAGCAGGAGGGAAUCUUCGCGAAUGGACGAAAGGCUGACCGAGCAACGCCGCGGGAGUGAAGAAGGUUUUCGGAUCGUAAAACUCUGUUGUUAGAGAAGCGGUAUCUAACCAGAAAGCCACGGCUAACUACGUGCCAGCAGCCGCGGUAAUAC
rnacentral:rRNA from 1 species